CAGGAACUCGGCUUUCAGUCUGGCCCCACCUCCCCAGGCCUCUUAUCAGGUUUCUCACCAACUUCCUCUUCCCCCAGGUGCCAGUGGCAUUGGCAGGCCACACUGGGGAGUUCAUGUGCCUUGUGGUUGUGUCUAACCGCAGGCUGUACCUGUUGAAGGUGACUGGGGAGAUGCGUGAGCCUCCAGCUAGCUGGCUGCAGCUGACCCUGGCUGUUCCCCUGCAGGAUCUGAGUGGCAUAGAGCUGGGCCUGGCAGGCCAGAGCCUGCGGCUAGAGUGGGCAGCUGGGGUGGGCUGCUGUGUGCUGCUGCCCCGAGAUGCCAGGUGUUGCCGGGCCUUCCUAGAGGAGCUCCUUGAUGUCUUGCAGUCUCUGCCCCCUGCCUGGAGGAACUGUGUCAGUGCCACAGAGGAGGAGGUCACCCCCCAGCACCGGCUCUGGCCAUUGCUGGAAAAAGACUCAUCCUUGGAGGCUCGCCAGUUCUUCUACCUUCGGGCGUUCCUGGUUGAAGGUGAAGCCUCUGUGCAGCUGAUGCUUCCCUGGUCUCUGUACCCCACCUUGUCACAGGCACUGGCCCACGCGCAGCACCUGUACAGUGCCCUUGCAGCAACUGUCAGUUCCUGGAACCUGGAGAACUUCUCACUCGAGGGCAUAGCUGAGUAACAGCCUCAGUGUGCCCUGACCC
rnacentral:sRNA from 1 species